GAUGAACGCUGGCGGCGUGCCUAAUACAUGCAAGUCGAGCGAACAGACGAGGAGCUUGCUCCUCUGACGUUAGCGGCGGAAGGGUGAGUAACACGUGGAUAACCUACCUAUAAGACUGGGAUAACUUCGGGAAACCGGAGCUAAUACCGGAUAAUAUAUUGAACCGCAUGGUUCAAUAGUGAAAGACGGUUUUGCUGUCACUUAUAGAUGGAUCCGCGCCGCAUUAGCUAGUUGGUAAGGUAACGGCUUACCAAGGCAACGAUGCGUAGCCGACCUGAGAGGUUGAUCGGCCACACUGGAACUGAGACACGGUCCAGACUCCUACGGGAGGCAGCAGUAGGGAAUCUUCCGCAAUGGGCGAAAGCCUGACGGAGCAACGCCGCGUGAGUGAUGAAGGUCUUCGGAUCGUAAAACUCUGUUAUUAGGGAAGAACAAAUGUGUAAGUAACUAUGCACGUCUUGACGGUACCUAAUCAGAAAGCCACGGCUAACUACGUG
rnacentral:rRNA from 1 species